GCCAACUGGAACAGCUGUGGUGGGAUGCAACAGCCUCCAUGAGGAUGAAGCUGCGGAGAGAGAGAUGAGGGUGAUCAUAUGUAGAAGCUAGGAGUCUAAUCACUAACUAAAACUACCAAACCCAGCAGAACAGUAAUGCAUCACACAUCUUUACAAUAUUUGUGCAAAGCCACUGACAUGGCCCCAGAUGUUAUACUGAACAUAUUUACAUGCAGACAUUUACAUACUGCAAGUUUUUCUUCUUGGUAAUACAUUACAGUCAUAAUAUUUAAGUUCAAAGGCCCAUGAUGAUCUUUAUAAAUGACCAUUUUGGUUUGCACUUUUUUUUAGAGACGCUGGUGUCCACCAGAAAUUAGCUGAGUUUUGCCCUUAACGUCGUGACCGUGGUUGUUAAACAGGGAGAAGACGCUAUCUUGCCCUGCUCCAUCAGCAGCAAGGAGAACAUUGUACGAGGACUUUUUUUACUUCUGCUUUUUAGAACGUCUUUUCAAAGAUCGGUCACAAGAACGCUUAGGUGCUCCACAAAACCCUACUGUCGCGAUAGCUGACGUGACAGAGGCAGGCGUUCUGCUGCAGUGUGUGGUUCAGUGUGCGUUUCCAGAGCCGACGCUGCAGUGGAAGGAUUGUGGAGGAAACCUCCUUCCUGCUGAGGAGCCACAGGUCUCAAAGAGAAGAGGCCACUAUGACGUCAUCCUCCAAACGACUGUGACCAGGACGACGAGCAACUGUUUCUGCUGUGAAGUCAAACAGGAUGAGAUCGGCCACGUUGUUAAUAAAAACAUCACCGAAAUAGAAACUGUUCUCUGA
rnacentral:lncRNA from 1 species